rnacentral:rRNA from 1 species
GCAGUCGAGCGGGGGAAGGUAGCUUGCUACUGGACCUAGCGGCGGACGGGUGAGUAAUGCUUAGGAAUCUGCCUAUUAGUGGGGGACAACAUCUCGAAAGGGAUGCUAAUACCGCAUACGUCCUACGGGAGAAAGCAGGGGAUCUUCGGACCUUGCGCUAAUAGAUGAGCCUAAGUCGGAUUAGCUAGUUGGUGGGGUAAAGGCCUACCAAGGCGACGAUCUGUAGCGGGUCUGAGAGGAUGAUCCGCCACACUGGGACUGAGACACGGCCCAGACUCCUACGGGAGGCAGCAGUGGGGAAUAUUGGACAAUGGGCGCAAGCCUGAUCCAGCCAUGCCGCGUGUGUGAAGAAGGCCUUAUGGUUGUAAAGCACUUUAAGCGAGGAGGAGGCUACUUUAGAUAAUACCUAGAGAUAGUGGACGUUACUCGCAGAAUAAGCACCGGCUAACUCUGUGCCAGCAGCCGCGGUAAUACAGAGGGUGCAAGCGUUAAUCGGAUUUACUGGGCGUAAAGCGCGCGUAGGCGGCUAAUUAAGUCAAAUGUGAAAUCCCCGAGCUUAACUUGGGAAUUGCAUUCGAUACUGGUUAGCUAGAGUGUGGGAGAGGAUGGUAGAAUUCCAGGUGUAGCGGUGAAAUGCGUAGAGAUCUGGAGGAAUACCGAUGGCGAAGGCAGCCAUCUGGCCUAACACUGACGCUGAGGUGCGAAAGCAUGGGGAGCAAACAGGAUUAGAUACCCUGGUAGUCCAUGCCGUAAACGAUGUCUACUAGCCGUUGGGGCCUUUGAGGCUUUAGUGGCGCAGCUAACGCGAUAAGUAGACCGCCUGGGGAGUACGGUCGCAAGACUAAAACUCAAAUGAAUUGACGGGGGCCCGCACAAGCGGUGGAGCAUGUGGUUUAAUUCGAUGCAACGCGAAGAACCUUACCUGGCCUUGACAUAGUAAGAACUUUCCAGAGAUGGAUUGGUGCCUUCGGGAACUUACAUACAGGUGCUGCAUGGCUGUCGUCAGCUC